rnacentral:lncRNA from 1 species
UUGUCUACGUGGACUUGCCAGGAGAAGGUUGUCUCGCCAGCAAGCACACUGGCGACGGGAGCGGCAGGAGUGCGACUCGGCAGCCUGUGACGCGGACAUCAUGAGAGGUGGCCGGAGACCUCGACCCGGUUCGAGUGAGGCUGCUCGGGAUGCAGCAACCGCGCGCAGCCAUCACCGACGUUCCUGGCGCAAGCCCCCUUCGAAGCAAGCCGCCGAAGACAGUCCCCGUGGGCCACGUCGGCUCUUAGCACCGGGCAUCACCGGGUAGCGCUAG